GCCGAACGAGCCGAUACGGCCCGAAACGGGCGGGAGCAAACUCGUAAUGAGCAGGUCAGCGGUUCGAGUCCGCUCGUCGGCU
rnacentral:tRNA from 1 species